GACGAACGCUGGCGGCGUGCUUAACACAUGCAAGUCGAGCGAGGCUCCUCCUUCGGGAGGAUGUCCUAGCGGCGAACGGGUGAGUAACACGUGGGCAACCUGCCCCUAGCACUGGGAUAACCCCGGGAAACCGGAGCUAAUACCGGAUACGACCACAGUUGGCAUCAACAUGUGGUGGAAAGAUUCAUCGGCUAGGGAUGGGCCCGCGGCCUAUCAGCUUGUUGGUGGGGAGUGGCCCACCAAGGCGACGACGGGUAGCCGGCCUGAGAGGGCGACCGGCCACACUGGGACUGAGACACGGCCCAGACUCCUACGGGAGGCAGCAGUGGGGAAUAUUGCUCAAUGGGCGCAAGCCUGAAGCAGCGACGCCGCGUGAGGGAUGAAGGCC
rnacentral:rRNA from 1 species